AAUCAACGCUGGCGGCGUGCCUAACACAUGCAAGUCGAACGCGAAAGCCCGCAAGGGUGAGUAGAGUGGCGCACGGGUGAGUAACACGUGGACAACCUGCCUUCGAGUGGGGAAUAACCUUCCGAAAGGAGGGCUAAUACCGCAUAACACCUCGGGACACAAGUUCUGGGGUUGAAAAGAGCAAUUUGCUCGAAGAGGGGUCCGCGCCUGAUUAGCUAGUUGGUGAGGUAACGGCUCACCAAGGCUUCGAUCAGUAGCCGUCCUGAGAGGGAGCACGGCCACACUGGAACUGAGACACGGUCCAGACUCCUACGGGAGGCAGCAGUGGGGAAUUUUGGCAAUGGGCGAAAGCCUGACCAAGCAACGCCGCGUGGGUGAUGAAGUAUCUUGGUACGUAAAACCCUUUCGGCAGGGACGAACCUAAUGACGGUACCUGCGGAAGAAGCCCCGGCUAACUCCGUGCCAGCCGCCGCCGUAAC
rnacentral:rRNA from 1 species